UACGUAGGGGGCAAGCGUUGUCCGGAUUUAUUGGGCGUAAAGAGCGUGUAGGCGGCCAUACAGGUCAGCUGUGAAAACUCGAGGCUCAACCUCGAGACGUCGGUUGAAACCGUAUGGCUAGAGUCCGGAAGAGGAGAGUGGAAUUCCCGGUGUAGCGGUGAAAUGCGCAGAUAUCGGGAAGAACACCGAUGGCGAAGGCAAUCCCCUGGACCUGUACUGACGCUCAUGCACGAAAGCGUGGGGAGCAAACAGG
rnacentral:rRNA from 1 species